rnacentral:lncRNA from 1 species
CCUAACCCCUGGAACCUAUGGAGGUAACUUCCUUUGGAUAAAAAGUUCUUUGCAAAUGUAAUGUAAGGAUCUUGAGGUCAAAUCAUCCAGGAUUUAGCCGGGCACCGUAGAUCCAAGGACACCUGAAGAAGAGGAGAGGACACACAGACCCAGAGGAAAAGGUUAUGUGAAGAUGGAGUCAGGAAUUGAUGAGCACCACAAGCCAAGGUACAGCAAAGAUGGCCAGCAGCCACCAGAAGCUAAGAGAGAGGCAUGGAACAUGUUCUCCCUCAGAGCCUACAGAAGGAGCCAGCCCUGACAACACCUUCACUUUGGACUUCUGGCCUCCACCAAAUGAGAGAAUAAGUUUCUGUUGUUUUCCGCCACCCAGUUUGUUAAUUUGUUAUGGCAACGCCACGAAACUAGGAGAGUAUAAUUUGGAAAAGAUCUUUAAGAUCCGCCACCCAGUUUGUUAAUUUGUUAUGGCAACGCCAGGAAACUAGGCACCAGCCCUUUCACCUGAUGUCAGAGCAGCACAGCUGAAAGCUGUAACCUGGGUGAGGUGGAGGGCGACUAGCAGGCAUGCGCAGGUGAGAUCCCCUGGGGCAGGCCUUGAAGGGCCAAGGUGGGGCAUGGCUCGCUUUGGCUGUUUUGGUUUUCAAAAUGUUUAAAUGCUGAAAGUUCAUGUUGGUAGUUGGCAUGUAAGGAUCUUAAUUUGUUCUGUUCAUUGCAAAAAAAAU